GAUGAACGCUGGCGGCGUGCUUAACACAUGCAAGUCGAACGAUAAGUGACGACGGAAACCUUCGGGCGGAAGGCUUUAUUUCUAGUGGCGCACGGGUUAGUAACGCGUGGGUAACCUGCCUCAUACAGGGGGAUAACAGUUGGAAACGACUGUUAAUACCGCAUAAGACCACAGCACCGCAUGGUGCGUUGGUAAAAACUCCGGUGGUAUGAGAUGGACCCGCGUUCGAUUAGCCCGUUGGCGGGGUAACGGCCCAGCAAAGCGACGAUCGAUAGCCGAUCUGAGAGGAAGACCGGCGACAUCGGGACUGAGACACGGCCGAAAAUCCUACGCAAGGGGGGAGUGGGGAAUAUAGCAAAAGGGGGGGAACGAAGAUGCAGCGACGCCGCGUGAGUGAAGAAGUAUGUCGGUAAGUGAAGCUGUAUCAGCAGGGAAGAAAAUGACGGUACCGGAGUAAGAAGCCCCGGCUAACUACGUG
rnacentral:rRNA from 1 species